GGGGGUGUGGACGUCGGCGCCACCGACGAGCUCCGGCGGCUACUCCGGCUUUAGCCAUGCAUCUCAAUAUGCCAUCGAGGUGUGUUCUUUGUUCUGCAGUUGGUGCAGCGUGUAACGUGCCCGAAAUAACCAUGAGCACGAUGUUUGUGUUGUGUCACCGUCUUCCUGAAAACCAGAAGAUUUAUUGUUCAUCUUUUGUUGAUUAGCUCUGAAUGCAAACCUGUUCAGUAUUCAUAGGUGAAAAGGUUGCAAGAAGGACAAUUUGGGUUCUGGGUUUGGCAGAUCUCGGGUGUGUCCGGUUUAGUGCCCAAACAUACCCCAAAAAAAUGGUAAUGACAAAACUCUUUUGGGGUCAUUUGGUUGGUUGCCAUUGGCAUGUCCAUCUACAUAAGCGAAAGUUCUUAUCUAAAAUGCAACCAUAACAUGCUAAACUAUCUAAUACAUUUUAGCCGUCGGAUUCACUAUUUAGCGGUUCGAG
rnacentral:lncRNA from 1 species